UACGUAGGGGGCUAGCGUUGUCCGGAAUCAUUGGGCGUAAAGAGCGCGUAGGCGGCCAGAUAAGUCCGGUGUGAAAGUCAGAGGCUCAACCUUUGAAUGCCGCUGGAAACUGUCUGGCUAGAGUCCGGAAGGGGCGAGUGGAAUUCCUGGUGUAGCGGUGAAAUGCGCAGAUAUCAGGAAGAACACCCGUGGCUAAGGCGGCUCUCUAGUACGGUACUGACGCUGAGACGCGAAAGCGUGGGGAGCGAACAGG
rnacentral:rRNA from 1 species